AACGAACGCUGGCGGCAUGCCUAACACAUGCCAGUCGAACGAGACCUUCGGGUCUAGUGGCGCACGGGUGCGUAACGCGUGGGAACCUGCCCUUAGGUUCGGAAUAACUCCCCGAAAGGGGUGCUAAUACCGGAUAAUGUCUUCGGACCAAAGAUUUAUCGCCUUUGGAUGGGCCCGCGUUGGAUUAGCUAGUUGGUAGGGUAAAAGCCUACCAAGGCGACGAUCCAUAGCUGGUCUGAGAGGAUGAUCAGCCACACUGGGACUGAGACACGGCCCAGACUCCUACGGGAGGGAGCAGUGGGGAAUAUUGGGCAAUGGGCGAAAGCCUGAUCCAGCAAUGCCGGGUGAGUGAUGAAGGCCUUAGGGUUGUAAAGCUCUUUUACCCGGGAUGAUAAUGACAGUACCGGGAGAAUAAGCUCCGGCUAACUCCGUG
rnacentral:rRNA from 1 species